CUGUUAAAACGCCACAGCGCUGACCAGGCCCCAUGGAAAUCCAUACCCAUCGGGUAGCCCUAACAGCAUGGGCCACUCGAUGGGCCCCUUAAACGUGCGGCCCCGGGGGUUUGCCGCAUGAGCUGGGGCCGCAAAACAUGGCGGCUAGUUCCAGGGUGGCCGGGUCCCCUGGAGUGACAGCCCGGUCGCAGCUGCGACCCCUA